rnacentral:rRNA from 1 species
UACGUAGGGGGCAAGCGUUGUCCGGAUUUAUUGGGCGUAAAGAGCGUGUAGGCGGCUUUACAGGUCCGUUGUGAAAACUCGAGGCUCAACCUCGAGACGCCGGUGGAAACCGUAAGGCUAGAGUCCGGAAGAGGAGAGUGGAAUUCCUGGUGUAGCGGUGAAAUGCGCAGAUAUCAGGAAGAACACCCGUGGCGAAGGCGGCUCUCUGGGACGGUACUGACGCUGAGACGCGAAAAGCGUGGGGGAGCGAACAGG